rnacentral:rRNA from 1 species
GAAGGGUGCAAGCGUUACUCGGAAUUACUGGGCGUAAAGCGUGCGUAGGUGGUUCGUUAAGUCUGUCGUGAAAGCCCCGGGCUCAACCUGGGAAUGGCGAUGGAUACUGGCGGGCUAGAGUGCGGUAGAGGAGAGUGGAAUUCCCGGUGUAGCAGUGAAAUGCGUAGAGAUCGGGAGGAACAUCAGUUGCGAAGGCGGCUCUCUGGACCAGCACUGACACUGAGGCACGAAAGCGUGGGGAGCAAACAGGAUUAGAUACCCUGGUAGUCCACGCCCUAAACGAUGCGAACUGGACGUUGGGAGCAACUAGGCUCUCAGUGUCGAAGAUAACGCGUUAAGUUCGCCGCCUGGGGAGUACGGUCGCAAGACUG